CCUACGGGUGGCAGCAGUAGGGAAUCUUCCACAAUGGGCGAAAGCCUGAUGGAGCAAAGCCGCGUGGGUGAAGAAGGUCUUCGGAUCUUAAAACCCUGUUGUUAGAGAAGAAAGUGCGGGAUAGUAACUGUUCACGUUUCGACGGUAUCUAACCAGAAAGCCACGGCUAACUACGUGCCAGCAGCCGCAGUAAUACGUAGGUGGCAAUCGUUAUCCGGAUUUAUUUUGCGUAAAGGGAACGCAGGCGGUCUUUUACGUCUGUUGUGAAAGCCUUCGGCUUAACCGGAGUAGUGCAUUGGAAACUGGGAGCAUUGAGUGCAGAAGAGGAGGGUGGAAUUCGAUGUGUAGCGGUGAAAUGCGUAGAUAUAUGGAAGAACACCGGUGGCGAAGGCAGCUUUCUGGUCUGUAACUGACGCUGAGGUUCGAAAGCGUGGGUAGCAAACAGGAUUAGAUACCCUAGUAGUC
rnacentral:rRNA from 1 species